UACGUAGGGCGCAAGCGUUGUCCGGAAUUACUGGGCGUAAAGAGCGCGUAGGCGGCGCGGUACGACCGCUGUGAAAGCCCCCAGCUCAACUGGGGAGGGUCAGCGGUAACGGCCGUGCUAUGAGUGCAGGAGAGGGAAGUGGAACUCCGGGAGUAGCGGUGAAAUGCGUAGAGACCCGGAGGAACACCAGUGGCGAAGGCGGCUUCCUGGUCUGCGACUGACGCUGUGGCGCGAAAGCUAGGGGAGCAAACGGG
rnacentral:rRNA from 1 species